rnacentral:rRNA from 2 species
AAUUAAAAAUUUAUUAAAUUUUUAAGUUUUAUAAAAUUUUUAAAUUAAAAAAAAUAUUUUUUAUUAUAUUAUAGAAAAAAUUAAUUUUAUUAUAGUUAAAUAGUAUUGUGAAAGAAAAAAAUUAAUUGUUGAAUAGAAAAAUUCUUUUUUUGUACCUUGUGUAUCAGGGUUUAUUAACUAAAAAUUAUUUAUUUAAUUAUCUCGAAUUUAAAAGAUCUAAAAAGUUAAUAUUUUUAUUGUAAAAUAAAUAUUUUUAAUUAUUUUUUAGUAAUGAAAUGUUAUUCGUUUUUAAAUAUAUCUAGUUUUUUAAGAAAAAAAUUUAAUUUAUUUAUUAUUAAUAUAACUAUAAUUGUAUAUUUUUAUAUUAUUAAUAUUAAAUAUUUUUAGGGAUGAGCUUAAAAAUAAAUAAUUAUUAGAAAUUUAAAGAUAAAUUAAAAUUAGGAUUAAAAAUUUUCAAAUUUUAAAGUAUGUUAUAAUUUAUAUUAUAUUUAUAUAAUUUUUAUUUUCUAUAAAUUUUUUAUUAAAAUUUAAAUUUAAAUUAAAAAAAUUUAGUAAUAAUGAUAAAAUUAGUAUAUAAAAAUUAUAUAAAUAUAUUUUUAUGUAAGGUUAGUUAAAGGAAUUCGGCAAAUAUUUUUUCACCUGUUUAUUAAAAACAUGUCUUUUUGUAUAAUAUUUAAAGUCUAGUCUGCCCUCUGAUUAAAUUGAAUGGCCGCGGUAUUUUGACCGUGCUAAGGUAGCAUAAUCAUUAGUUUUUUAAUUGAAAGCUGGAAUGAAGGGCUGAAUGAAAAAAAAACUGUCUCUAAUUAAUUAUUUUAGAAUUUUAUUUUUAAGUUAAAAAGCUUAAAUUUUAUUAAAAGACGAGAAGACCCUAUAGAGUUUAAUAAUUUUAUACUAUAAAAAAUUUGGRAUUAAUAUUUUUAUUUUUAUAUAAUUAUUUGAUUGGGGUGAUUAAAAAAUUUAAUAAACUUUUUUAUUUAUUUAUAUUGAUUAAUAAAUAAUUGAUCCAAAAAUUUUGAUUAUAAGAUAAAAUUACCUUAGGGAUAACAGCGUAAUUUUAUUUGAGAGUUCUAAUCGAUAAUAAAGUUUGCGACCUCGAUGUUGGAUUAAAAUUUAUAAUUGGUGUAGAAGCUAUAUUAUUAAGUCUGUUCGACUUUUAAAAUUUUACAUGAUCUGAGUUUAAACCGGUGUAAGCCAGGUUGGUUUCUAUCUUUAAUUUAAAAAUUUAUUUUAGUACGAAAGGACCAAAUAUAAUAAAUAAUAUUUUAAUUUUUGAAUAAAAUU